ACAUCUUGCCGGCUGUCCAAAAGAAGAAACUUCUGAAAAUGGUAGAAGCUUUGAACCUGGAAAGGAGUAAAAUAAAUUUGAAAAUAGGAGAGAGAAAAGCCAGAGGAAGAUUCCAGAGAGAAAGAAGAAGACUGGAUAUGGCCAGCAGACUGGACACGGACUUGGCUACAGAAGUGGGGGAGUGAGAGAAAAUAGUGGAGAUAGUGAGGUAUCAAGAGAGAGAAUACAGCAUAGAAAGAGAUAAGAAUAAGAAAGAGCAAGGGUGGGAAUAGUGGAGAAUAGCCAGUUAAAGGGAAGGCGAGUAGCUGCAGGGAGGGACGGGCCAGGAGACCUGGCUUGGAGGCUUUGAAAUGUAUAACAAGCAUUUGGGGGAUGAGGGAGUCUGAAGUCUUAUGGGCUUUGAUAUGCAGCCACUGUCAAUGGCCCAUGUCAUAUGUUGUAUGUCCCUUCUGCCAGAGGUAAGGGGAAUGACUCCUUUUUGCAGAUGGGAACUGGCUUUACAAGUUCCUGAGGACCGAUGACUUUUUAUUAGGUAUUUUCCUUGUUUACAUUUUCAAUGCUAUCCCAAAAGUCCGCCAUACCCACCCCCCCCAAUCCACUACCCACCCACUCCCCCGUUUUGGCCCUGGGGUUCCCCUGUACUGGGGCAUAUACAGUGACUUUUAUAUAACAGUCAGAACUCUUACAGUUCAGCUUGAACCCAUUUCUGGAUAUGUGAGCAGCCUGAGACCUAACAGAAAGCUUUAUAGAAAAUAUACAUUGUGAGGUUCCAACUGAAAACCUACAGCAUCACCAUCUCUGGUGGUACCGCCCGUGAAUAUGCAUUUUCAAAAUGUUUUGAGCUGUGAUGGUUUGGAUGCUUGGUCAUAUGGGCACUAUUAGGAGGUGUUGACUUACUGGAGGAGGUGUGGCCUUGUUGGAGGAAGUGUGUCACUAUGUAGGUAGUCUUUAAGGCCUUCUGUGCUUAGGUUCCACCCAACAUGGAAGAGAGUCUCCUCCUAGCUGUCUGCAGAAGAUAGUUUCCUGCUGCUGCCUUUGGAUCAAGAUCAAGACAGUGCUCUUCCAGCACCAUGUCUGCCUGGAUGCUGCCAUGUUUCCCGCUAUGAUGAUAAGGGACUGAACCUCUGAAACUGUUAGCCAGCCCCAAUUAAAUGUUGCCCCUUUUAAAGAGUUGCCUUGGAUAUAGUGCCUCUUCAUGGUGAUAAAACCCUAAAACAGGAGCCAAUCACUUGGCUGCGGAAGCACUAUCUUAGCUCUUGGUCAUCCUUUGAAAUGAGGUAAAGAGAAAUCAAUACACAUAGAAUAUAAAAAAACCGUAUUAAAGAAACAUGUAGAAAGUACCCCACUUGUCCAGAAAACAGAUACAAAGAAGUUAUACUAGUUGAUGUAAUUUGUGUUGGUUACCAUAAUCACAACACUCAUGUCUUGGGCACUGAAUGUAGUAGAACUCAGACUGUUCUCAUGAAGUGGUUUCCUCACAACUGAACCAUGAACUGAGACUCUGAACUUCACAUUUGAUGCUCCUUACCACACAGCCUCCCCACUGGCUAUAUGGGUCAAGAAAGAGAGGGUCAUAUUUAAAGAAUUUGUAAAGAACAAGUAGUAUGCAUUCCCUAUGGUCAUACUGCUUGCAUAAAAGUUGUCACAGCACCUCAGCAAGAUGAAGGAAGGCAAGGAAAUGAGAUCCUGAGUAUUUAGGAAGGAUAGAAAAUGACGUGGAAAACAGUGCCUUUGCCACUGGUAUGAGAAGUGGAGUCUCCAUUGAUUAAGCAACCUGAUCUUUUGCCAAGUGAGUGGGAAAGCAGACCACCAAGGAGAUGUGGUCAGCAAGUGCGAGAUUCUACAAAGGCCAUCCUGCUCCAAACGCUCCAGCCAAAGAAUGCAUGGUAACAGAGGCACUGUGACCUCACAUUAUAAAUAAAAGACUCAAAUCUAGA